rnacentral:tRNA from 1 species
GUACCCGUAGCUCAGCCUGGAUAGAGCGCGACCCUGCGGAGGUCGAGGUCGCAGGUUCGAAUCCUGCCGGGUACGCCA